AUUGAACGCUGGCGGCAGGCCUAACACAUGCAAGUCGAACGGUAGCACAGAGAGCUUGCUCUCGGGAGACGAGUGGCGGACGGGUGAGUAAUGUCUGGGAAACUGCCUGAUGGAGGGGGAUAACUACUGGAAACGGUAGCUAAUACCGCAUAACGUCGCAAGCCCAAAGAGGGGGACCUUCGGGCCUCUUGCCAGCAGAUGUGCCCAGAUGGGAUUAGCCAGUAGGUGGGGUAACGGCUCACCUAGGCGACCAUCCCUAGCUGGUCUGAGAGGAUGACCAGCCACACUGGAACUGAGACACGGUCCAGACUCCUACGGGAGGCAGCAGUGGGGAAUAUUGCACAAUGGGCGCAAGCCUGAUGCAGCCAUGCCGCGUGUAUGAAGAAGGCCUUCGGGUUGUAAAGUACUUGCAGCGGGGAGGAAGGCGAUAAGGUUAAUAACCUUGUCGAUUGACGUUACCCGCAGAAGAAGCACCGGCUAACUCCGUGCCAGCCGCCGCGGUAA
rnacentral:rRNA from 1 species